rnacentral:lncRNA from 1 species
AUUUUUAGUAGAGGCGGGGUUUUGCCAUAUUGGCCAGGCUGGUCUCCAACUCCUGACUGCAGGUGAUCCACCUGCCUCAGCCUCCGAAAGUGUUGGGAUUACAGGCGUGAGCCACCGCACCUGGCCCCUGCCUAGUUCUCUUGUGUUGAGGUGUUAGGGGCAGCUGCUCACAGGCCACCCGGGAGAUCCCUGGUGGGCACAAUAACUUUAAAUUGCCUACAGUGUUGGGUGUGGUUCCACU